rnacentral:rRNA from 1 species
GAUGAACGCUGGCGGCGUGCCUAAUACAUGCAGGUCGAGCGAACGGACGAGAAGCUUGCUUCUCUGAUGUUAGCGGCGGACGGGUGAGUAACACGUGUAUAACCUACCUAUAAGACUGGGAUAACUUCGGGAAACCGGAGCUAAUACCGGAUAAUAUUUUGAACCGCAUGGUUCAAAAGUGAAAGACGGUCUUGCUGUCACUUAUAGAUGGAUCCGCGCUGCAUUAGCUAGUUGGUAAGUUAACGGCUUACCAAGGCAACGAUGCAUAUCCGACCUGAGAGGGUGAUCGGACACACUGGAACUGAGACACGGACCAGACACCUACGGGAGGCAGCAGUAGGGAAUCUUCCGCAAUGGGCGAAAGCCUGACGGAGCAACGCCGCGUGAGUGAUGAAGGUCUUCGGAUCGUAAAACUCUGUUAUUAGGGAAGAACAUAUGUGUAAGUAACUGUGCACAUCUUGACGGUAACUAAUCAGAAAGCAACGGCUAACUACGUG